rnacentral:rRNA from 1 species
UACAGAGGGUGCAAGCGUUGUUCGGAAUUACUGGGCGUAAAGGGCGCGUAGGCGGUUUAGCAAGUCAGAUGUGAAAGCCCGGGGCUCAACUCCGGAAUUGCAUUUGAAACUGCUAGGCUAGAGUGCAGUAGAGGAUGGCGGAAUACCCAGUGGAGAGGUGAAAUUCGUAGAUAUUGGGUGGAACACCGGUGGCGAAGGCGGCCAUCUG